rnacentral:rRNA from 1 species
GACGAACGCCGGCGGCGUGCUUAACACAUGCAAGUCGAACGGUGAAGGGGAGCUUGCUCCCCGGAUCAGUGGCGAACGGGUGAGUAACACGUGGGCAACCUGCCCCAGACUUCGGGAUAACGCUUCGAAAGAGGUGCUAAUACCGGAUACGAACUCCUUGGGCAUCCUGGGAGUUGGAAAGUUUUUCGGUCUGGGAUGGGCCCGCGGCCUAUCAGCUAGUUGGUGAGGUAACGGCUCACCAAGGCGACGACGGGUAGCCGGCCUGGGAGGGCGACCGGCCACACUGGGACUGAGACACGGCCCAGACUCCUACGGGAGGCAGCAGUGGGGAAUAUUGCGCAAGGGGCGAAAGCCUGACGCAGCAACGCCGCGUGAGGGAUGACGGCCUUCGGGUUGUAAACCUCUUUCAGCAGGGAAGAAGCGAAAGUGACGGUACCUGCAGAAGAAGCACCGGCUAACUACGUGCCAGCCGCCGCCGUAAUAC